rnacentral:rRNA from 1 species
UACAGAGGGGGCAAGCGUUGUUCGGAAUUACUGGGCGUAAAGGGCGCGUAGGCGGCCUGCUAAGUCGAACGUGAAAUCCCUGGGCUCAACCCAGGAACUGCGUCCGAUACUGGUUGGCUUGAAUCCGGGAGAGGGAUGUGGAAUUCCAGGUGUAGCGGUGAAAUGCGUAGAUAUCUGGAGGAACACCGGUGGCGAAGGCGACAUCCUGGACCGGUAUUGACGCUGAGGCGCGAAAGCCAGGGGAGCAAUCCGG